UUUCGUUUUUUUCUUCUCCUUC
rnacentral:sRNA from 1 species